UACGUAGGGGGCAAGCGUUGUCCGGAUUUAUUGGGCGUAAAGAGCGUGUAGGCGGCUAGGUAGGUCCGUUGUGAAAACUCGAGGCUCAACCUCGAGACGCCGGUGGAAACCAUCUAGCUAGAGUCCGGAAGAGGAGAGUGGAAUUCCCGGUGUAGUGGUGAAAUGCGUAGAUAUCGGGAGGAACACCAGUGGCGAAGGCGACUACCUGGCCUGUUCUUGACGCUGAGGCGCGAAAGCUAGGGGAGCAAACGGG
rnacentral:rRNA from 1 species